rnacentral:rRNA from 1 species
GACGUAGGGCGCGAGCGUUGUCCGGAUUUAUUGGGCGUAAAGAGCUCGUAGGCGGUUUGUCGCGUCUGCUGUGAAAACUCGGGGCUCAACUCCGAGCUUGCAGUGGGUACGGGCAGACUAGAGUGCGGUAGGGGGAGACUGGAAUUCCUGGUGUAGCGGUGGAAUGCGCAGAUAUCAGGAGGAACACCGGUGGCGAAGGCGGGGUCUCUGGGCCGU